GCAAGGAAUCUUCCGCAAUGGGCGCAAGCCUGACGGAGCAACGCCGCGUGCGGGACGGAGCCCUUCGGGGUGUGAACCGCUUUUGCCGGGGACGAAGCGAUGACGGUACCCGGCGAAUCAGGGCCGGCUAACUACGUGCCAGCAGCCGCGGUAAUACGUGGGGCCCGAGCGUUGUCCGGAGUCACUGGGCGUAAAGCGCGCGCAGGCGGCCCGCCAAGUCCGGCGUGAAAGCCCCCGGCUCAACCGGGGAGGGUCGUCGGGGACUGGCGGGCUUGAGGGCGGCAGGGGCCGGUGGAAUGCCCGGUGUAGUGGUGAAAUGCGUAGAGAUCGGGCGGAACACCCGUGGCGAAGGCGGCCGGCUGGGCCGUUCCUGACGCUGAGGCGCGAAGGCGUGGGGAGCGAACGGGAUUAGAAACCCCUGUAGUCC
rnacentral:rRNA from 1 species